CAUCAACCCUGUGAACAUACCUAUAACGUUGCCUCGGCGGGAACAGACGGCCCCGUAACACGGGCCGCCCCCGCCAGAGGACCCCCUAACUCUGUUUCUAUAAUGUUUCUUCUGAGUAAACAAGCAAAUAAAUUAAAACUUUCAACAACGGAUCUCUUGGCUCUGGCAUCGAUGAAGAACGCAGCGAAAUGCGAUAAGUAAUGUGAAUUGCAGAAUUCAGUGAAUCAUCGAAUCUUUGAACGCACAUUGCGCCCGCCAGUAUUCUGGCGGGCAUGCCUGUUCGAGCGUCAUUACAACCCUCAGGCCCCCGGGCCUGGCGUUGGGGAUCGGCGGAAGCCCCCUGCGGGCACAACGCCGUCCCCCAAAUACAGUGGCGGUCCCGCCGCAGCUUCCAUUGCGUAGUAGCUAACACCUCGCAACUGGAGAGCGGCGCGGCCACGCCGUAAAACACCCAACUUCUGAAUGUUGACCUCGAAUCAGGUAGGAAUACCCGCUGAACUUAAGCAUAU
rnacentral:rRNA from 1 species